rnacentral:rRNA from 1 species
AUUGAACGCUGGCGGCAGGCCUAACACAUGCAAGUCGAGCGGAUGAAGGGAGCUUGCUCCUGGAUUCAGCGGCGGACGGGUGAGUAAUGCCUAGGAAUCUGCCUGGUAGUGGGGGAUAACGUCCGGAAACGGGCGCUAAUACCGCAUACGUCCUGAGGGAGAAAGUGGGGGAUCUUCGGACCUCACGCUAUCAGAUGAGCCUAGGUCGGAUUAGCUAGUUGGUGGGGUAAAGGCCUACCAAGGCGACGAUCCGUAACUGGUCCGAGAGGAUGAUCAGUCACACUGGAACUGAGACACGGUCCAGACUCCUACGGGAGGCAGCAGUGGGGAAUAUUGGACAAUGGGCGAAAGCCUGAUCCAGCCAUGCCGCGUGUGUGAAGAAGGUCUUCGGAUUGUAAAGCACUUUAAGUUGGGAGGAAGGGCAGUAAGUUAAUACCUUGCUGUUUUGACGCUACCAACAGAAUAAGCACCGGCUAACUUCGUG